GCUGCAGGCUGUGGUGAAAUGUGGAGGUGGGAACUGGGGAGGGGGGGAGGUUUGCUAAACAGCCUAUGCUUCCGAGAGCUAGCGAAUCACAGGUGCCCUAACCUCCCUCUGGAGCAGAUGGGUUCCACAUACUCGGGCCUCCUUGCCAGAGUGAGUGGCCUCUCAGCAUAGGCUGGCCAUGACAAGGAACCGCAGCUAGGGGAUACCGAGCAGCAGGGGAGAGAGCUGGAAACGCCAGGAGAUUAUGCCAAGCGUGAGAGCCAGCAUGGAGGCAUUGCCAACCCUCGGGUAUACACCGGCACUGAGGAACAGUUGAACCUCAUAGACCUACAGCAAGGAGAGGGUCCUCACCAGACACCAGAUCUGCUAGCACUGGUGAGCUUCAAAUUCCCACCCUCCAGAACAGGAAGUAAAACAUCUUUGCUCUUUAAAUCCCACCCUGGCCUAAGGUGUUUUGUUACGGAAGCUAGAAUGGACUAUGACAAGUCCUGAGUCACAAGCCAGUGGUUGGCAAAGCCAAAGAGAAAGGAAGAUGAAGCCAGUAUUUGUGAACCAGGAGCUCACUCGCUGGAGCCUGCCUCCAGGAAUGGUGGGAGGGCAUCUGGAAGGUCACGUGUCUCAGUUUGGACUAUGCUUCCUAAGAGCUAAAAAACACAGCAGAUCACAAGUCCCGAGAUGGACCAGGAAGGCCGUUCAGUGAGAUUUUGUGCAGUAAACAUUGGCACUAUGGUUAGUGUUUUACACAAGCCAUCAGCUCCCUUACUCCUCCCGAUACCCUUGAGAGAUCAGUCAGGGAAGCUGAACACUGGAGGCUCAAGAAGCUUGACUGAAUUUUGCAGCUAAUAAGUGGAGUGGCUGAUGUCUGAGUCCGUGUUUCGUGUUUCAGAGUCUAGUUGUGAAGCUGCAGUUUUUGUCCAUGGUGAGACUUUAUUCUAUUCUUGACCAAACCCGACUCAACUUCCAGGCCCGAGUCCAGUCCUCCCAAGCCAUACAGGUUCUGCGGCUGAGCCGAGAGAUGGAGCCUCAUUUGUGUUUCAGGGGCUGAGUUGCCACACUGCCCUGGAUGGGGAUGGGGGAGACCUCUUCUGAUGACUCUUCAGAACUGUGUCUGAUGGUCUGUUACCUCCUUCCGUGCAGAGAGCUGCUCUUGGGAAGGUGGAUAGGAUCUUUGGAACCUCCCCCAACGUGAUCUGAAGUCUGGUUGCACACGCCAGUCGUCAAGCUCAAGGUCAAGGAAACAGGGGAUGCUCCAACCCGACCAGGUUGACUUUCUUCUGUGGUUGAAAAUCUGGAUCUAGAUGUAAUUCCAACUGAGAAAAGCCUGCUGGAAGGUGCGACAAGGUAGACCCACUGGGAAGCACGUGUUCCAAAGGAGUGUAGGGAAAAGCUCACUUGGAAGUGCGUGUCCCUUAAAGAAGGAGGAGGGGAGAAGAAAGAAAAGGAAAAAAAAGAUAUUUUCCGUGCCCGCUCUUCAUGUGAAACUGAACCCACCCUCACCGUGCUCUGUCCAAGCCGACCAAGAAAGAGUCGGUGUUUUCUGCUCCUCUAUAUUUGUUUAUUCCCUUUUGCACUAACCGUGUAACUUGGUGCCUUGCACAUAAGCCACAGAAUAGUUGGGCCUUCUUCAGGGUGCUAGGAAAUUUCCUACGUCAGAGGGACUUGCUGUCGAAGCUAAGGUCCCAGCAGGAGAAGCGAGAGACCGGAGACUCUCAGGGAGGAUUUUCAUUGCUUCAAGCCAGGAAGUGACACAUGUGUUUGCUGUGAACCUCAAGUGACUCAGAAGCUCCCCAAGUGUGACAUUCCUUCUUUGAACAGUGCCUCAGUAAGGCACUCAAACCCAAGAAUGUCCAUGGGAAACAAUCUCCAGCCACCAAACUCUCAUAGGAAGGAAGCACCAUCUGUGGAGCCAAAAAGUCAGAAAGAAAGAAGCAGAAGGGAAGAAGCAGAAAACGCCAAGGGAUGGGAGGACAGAGAGGGAGAGAGCCAGGCUGAGACCCAACCUCCCAGGAAUCAGAACAUGUGUGUGCAUGUGUGUAGUUUUAUUUCACUGGCUUCAGAGUACCUGGUGCUGUGCCUCUGAAUGGAAAAUGAGGCAGAAAAAAUGAGCUGAAAUUCACAGGCCUUUGAAAAGCAAUUGGUGUCAGCGUGCACCCUGCAUAUGUCAAGGAUUGCUUCUGACCAGAAAAGCCACCUCUGGCCCAGGUGGACCCCAUCAUAGCUGGUCGAAGACAGCAAGGCCUGCUGGGCUAUGACCUUUGGCUCUGCCUCUGUUCCCAGAAGGCUUGUGGGACUGUACCUUUACAAAGCACAUGCGUCUGGAAGAGGAAAACGAGGAAGAUAUUUGAUGAAUUACUCUUGACCGGGUAUACAUUUUUGAUGGCUUGGCCAGGCCAAGAUGGAUCUGUAGAUCUCGAUCCAAUUUGCCCAGGUAAAGGAAUGAGAAAUUCCUGACACGAUGUUAUUUAGGAGUGAAGCUACGCUAUUGCUGAGCACGCAAUGUCAGGCAUGAGGGCACAGUGCACUGCCAUUGACUCUCUAUAUGCUUUUGAUUUCAGCUGAUGGUACUGCUGUCCAGCCUCAAGCCAGAGAAAUCUGAAACAGUCCAUCCUUCUGCCCCUCUCUCAAACUCAAUGGGUCGUAUUCCUCCUAUGCUUUUGUGCAGGUAGCACCUGUGUGACAGCUUUUCCUCAUCGGGCUUAAUUCAUUCUUUGACUCUUCCAACUUUACCUGGUUCAAGAAACAAACAAACAAUAAACAAUGCAGUAAGGCAGAACCAAUCCAGAGGGCUGUUCUGAUUGACACAGGCACCAUGGUUGUGUGGCUGUGCAGCUCGAGAGACGAGACUCUGGGAAGAACAAGAUUAUAACC